GAUGAACGCUGGCGGCGUGCCUAAUACAUGCAAGUCGAGCGAACGGACGAGAAGCUUGCUUUUCUGAUGUUAGCGGCGGACGGGUGAGUAACACGUGGAUAACCUACCUAUAAGACUGGGAUAACUUCGGGAAACCGGAGCUAAUACCGGAUAAUAUUUUGAACCGCAUGGUUCAAAAGUGAAAGACGGUCUUGCUGUCACUUAUAGAUGGAUCCGCGCUGCAUUAGCUAGUUGGUAAGGUAACGGCUUACCAAGGCAACGAUGCAUAGCCGACCUGAGAGGGUGAUCGGCCACACUGGAACUGAGACACGGUCCAGACUCCUACGGGAGGCAGCAGUAGGGAAGCUUCCGCAAUGGGCGAAAGCCUGACGGAGCAACGCCGCGUGAGUGAUGAAGGUCUUCGGAUCGUAAAACUCUGUUAUUAGGGAAGAACAGAUGUGUAAGUAACUGUGCACAUCUUGACGGUACCUAAUCAGAAAGCCACGGCUAACUACGU
rnacentral:rRNA from 1 species